AUUGAACGCUGGCGGCAGGCCUAACACAUGCAAGUCGAACGAGUGGCGGACGGGUGAGUAAUGUCUGGGAAACUGCCUGAUGGAGGGGGAUAACUACCGGAAACGGUAGCUAAUACCGCAUACCAUCAGAUGUGCCCAGAUGGGAUUCGCUAGUUGGUGGGGUAACGGCCCACCAAGGCGACGAUCCCUAGCUGGUCUGAGAGGAUGACCAGCCACCCUGGAACUGAUACACGGUCCAGACUCUUACGGGCGGCAGCAGUGGGGAAUAUUGCACCAGUGGCGAAAGCCUGAUGCAGCCAUGCCGCGUGUAUGAAGAAGGCCUUCGGGUUGUAAAGUACUUGCAGCGGGGAGGCUUUACCCGCAGAAGAAGCACCGGCUAACUCCGUGCCAGCAGCCGCGGUAAUUC
rnacentral:rRNA from 1 species